rnacentral:antisense_RNA from 1 species
AAUAACCAAAUAUAACACUUGGGCUAAGGGUCAAGUUGGUUAUUUUUCUUACAUCUCCCCCCCCCGGGGCCCAGGUAUCAUAUACGCCCCCAAAAUAAAGAGCCUUAAGUACUAGAAGAAAAGCACCUAUACCUAACAAGAUUAAGUGAAUACUGGUCAUUUUAUUUCUAUCUUUCCA